rnacentral:rRNA from 1 species
AGCGAAUAGAUACCCGGGUAGUCCACGCUGUAAACGAUCGGUACUAGGAUUGGUGGGAGUUGACCCCUGCCGAUCCGGAGCUAAACGCGAUAAGUACCGCGCCUGGGAAGUACGGUCGCAAGACUAAAACUCAAAGGAAUUGACGGGAGCCCGCACAAGCGGUGGAUUAUGUGGUUUAAUUCGAAGCAACGCGCAGAACCUUACCUAGGUUCGACAUCCUUUGACAACUGCAGAGAUGUAGCUUUCGUAGCAAUACGACAAAGAGACAGGUGCUGCAUGGCUGUCGUCAGCUCGUGUGGUGGCAUGUCGGGUUAAGUCCCUCAACGAGCGCAACCCCUGUUUUUAG